ensembl:lincRNA Gm15669 predicted gene 15669
AGUUCUUGAGGCAGCUAUUAUCGAAAAUAAUGGAUUUGGCACUUGUGAUGAUUCCUGAGGCUGAAUCUGGACUCAGCAAGAAAGAGUGCCAUGAUUGAUUAGCCAUGUCUGCCAUUAGCUCAAAACUAGGGACAGAUCCUGCCAGAUACUUGCUGACAACAGCUUAGAAGUUUCCCUUGGCCAUACAAACCUUCUUAAAGGACUGACUGUUAGCAGUAAUGGAAAAUUCAGAUGGAUUACUGAUGCCACCCCUGGAGAGGUUCCUGAAUUCUGCUCAACACAAAAUCACCAUGAUUGGUAAACACUUUAAUAAGCUCACUGAAGCUUAAUGACUUCAAUUGUUCCCAUCAUUGCAUAUGUCCCUAACAGCACUCUAAUUUCAUAACUUUUACAAUUGUAACAAAAAUAAUUAUUGUCAGUUUCAUGAUUGUGAGCUCUGCUGGGAGCAAAAACUAUGAGCAGACUAAGACCAAUCUACCUGCCUGCCAAUAUUUUGAAAGACUUAAAACUCUUCUCUAUAAAUUAG